UGAACGCUGGCGGCAGGCUUAACACAUGCAAGUCGAGCGGUAGCACAGAGGAACUUGUUCCUUGGGUGACGAGCGGCGGACGGGUGAGUAAUGCUUGGGAACAUGCCUUGAGGUGGGGGACAACAGUUGGAAACGACUGCUAAUACCGCAUAAUGUCUACGGACCAAAGGAGGGGAUCUUCGGACCUUUCGCCUUUAGAUUGGCCCAAGUGAGAUUAGCUAGUUGGUGAGGUAAAGGCUCACCAAGGCGACGAUCUCUAGCUGGUUUGAGAGGAUGAUCAGCCACACUGGGACUGAGACACGGCCCAGACUCCUACGGGAGGCAGCAGUGGGGAAUAUUGGACAAUGGGCGCAAGCCUGAUCCAGCCAUGCCGCGUGUGUGAAGAAGGCCUUCGGGUUGUAAAGCACUUUCAGUCGUGAGGAAAGGGGGUAAAUUAAUACUUUGCUCCUAUGACGUUAGCGACAGAAGAAGGACCGGCUAACUCCGCGCC
rnacentral:rRNA from 1 species